UCGACCACCGGGUCGCGCUGGGCGACGGCGCGCAGGUUGAUGCCCUCCUUGAGGUAGUCCAUCUCGUAGAGGUGCUCGCGCCACUUGCGGUCGAU
rnacentral:tRNA from 1 species